rnacentral:rRNA from 1 species
AUGGAUCAAGACCUUAAGAUCGUCUUCUGGAAUGUCUGUGGUUUGAAUUGUAGAGCUAAACACUCUGCAAUCCGGACCAUUAUUACCUCUGCCUUUCCCUCCAUCGCCUCUCUCUCGGAGACCAAGCUCGCCCUUGUCUCGCCCGCGGUCAUCCUCGAAAUGCCCGACCCCCUCUUUGCUGGCUUCUACUGGCUUCCGGCGGCGGGCACGAGGGGCGGCAUACUCCUCGCAUGGCGCCCAGACCACGUUAACCUCUUGAACCCCACUAUUGGUUCUUACCACAUUUCCGCCAUGGUCUCCACCACAUCAGGCGAACAUCCUUGGUGGGUCACUGGCCACUGGUGCGCGUCGGUCCUAAACAAACGGUUUUUAACCCCUUUCCGCGAUGGCAUUUUGAACUGUCGCUAA